rnacentral:lncRNA from 1 species
UGCAUGAUAUUUUAUAUUAUUUUUUAUUGGUUUGAAUCCACUGUCCGCAACUGCGAAGACUUUCAAAUCUGUACUUAGUGUCUUUUUGUUGUUGUGAUGUACAAGUACCCGGUCACGUCCAUAUGUUUUUGUUAUAUGUAUACUGAUGAGUUAAGCCUUUUUUCAAAUGAUUUGUAUAGUUCGUUCUUGUGGUACACUGUCCCUGAUUAGGGAAGGGUUGAGAUCCCGCUAAUAUGUUUAACCCC